UACGGAGGGGGGCUAGCGUUGUUCGGAAUUACUGGGCGUAAAGCGCGCGUAGGCGGACCUGCAAGUCGGGGGGUGAAAGCCCGAGGCUCAACCUCGGAACUGCCUUCGAUACUGCGGGUCUCGAGUCCGGGAGAGGUGAGUGGAAUUCCUAGUGUAGAGGUGAAAUUCGUAGAUAUUAGGAAGAACACCAGUGGCGGAAGGCGGCUCACUGGCCCGGUACUGACGCUGAGGCGCGAAAGCAUGGGGAGCGAACAGG
rnacentral:rRNA from 1 species